rnacentral:rRNA from 1 species
GAUGAACGCUGGCGGCGUGCCUAACACAUGCAAGUCGAGCGAGAAAUUUACGAAUGAAAUUUCGAUGGAAUUUGUAAAUGGAAAGCGGCGGACGGGUGAGUAACGCGUAGGUAACCUGCCCCAUACAGAGGGAUAGCCAUUGGAAACGGUGAUUAAUACCUCAUAAAACUGAGUAUACUCAUGUAUACUCAGCCAAAGAUUUAUCGGUAUGGGAUGGACCUGCGUCUGAUUAGCUGGUUGGUGAGGUAACGGCUCACCAAGGCGACGAUCAGUAGCCGACCUGAGAGGGUGAUCGGCCACAUUGGAACUGAGACACGGUCCAA